CGGUGGCGAUAGCGAAGAGGUCACACCCGUUCCCAUCCCGAACACGGAAGUUAAGCUCUUCAGCGCCGAUGGUACUGCACGGGAGACUGUGUGGGAGAGUAGGACGCCGCC
rnacentral:rRNA from 1 species